CCCGCACAAGCGGAGGAACAUGUGGUUUAAUUCGAUGGUACGCGAGGAACCUUACCUGGGCUUAAAUGGGGAGUGACAGCUGUCGAAAGAUGGUUUUCUUCGGACACUCUUCAAGGUGCUGCAUGGUUGUCGUCAGCUCGUGCCGUGAGGUGUCGGGUUAAGUCCCAUAACGAGCGCAACCCUUACCGUUAGUUACCAUCAGGUUAAGCUGGGGACUCUAGCGGGACUGCCACCGUAAGGUGAGAGGAAGGUGGGGAUGACGUCAAAUCAGCACGGCCCUUAUGUCCAGGGCUACACACGUGUUACAAUGGCCAGUACAAAGGGCAGCUACCGGGUGACCGGAUGCUAAUCUCUAAAGCUGGUCUCAGUUCGGAUCGAAGUCUGCAACCCGACUUCGUGAAGCUGGAUUCGCUAGUAAUCGCGCAUCAGCCGUGGCGCGGUGAAUACGUUCCCGGGCCUU
rnacentral:rRNA from 1 species